rnacentral:sRNA from 1 species
ACCUCUCCCUAUUUAAACGGCGAUUCUCCAGAAAGUGCUAACGGAGACAUGGAUAUGGAGAAUGUGACCAGAGUUCGGCUGGUACAGUUCCAAAAGAACACAGAUGAACCAAUGGGAAUCACUUUAAAAAUGAAUGAACUAAAUCAUUGUAUUGUUGCAAGAAUUAUGCAUGGGGGCAUGAUUCACAGGCAAGGUACACUUCAUGUUGGUGAUGAAAUUCGAGAAAUCAAUGGCAUCAGUGUGGCUAACCAAACAGUGGAACAACUGCAAAAAAUGCUUAGGGAAAUGCGGGGGAGUAUUACCUUCAAGAUUGUGCCAAGUUACCGCACUCAGUCUUCGUCCUGUGAGGACUUGCCAUCAACUACCCAACCAAAAGGACGACAGAUCUAUGUAAGAGCACAAUUUGAAUAUGAUCCAGCCAAGGAUGACCUCAUCCCCUGUAAAGAAGCUGGCAUUCGAUUCAGAGUUGGUGACAUCAUCCAGAUUAUUAGUAAGGAUGAUCAUAAUUGGUGGCAGGGUAAACUGGAAAACUCCAAAAAUGGAACUGCAGGUCUCAUUCCUUCUCCUGAACUUCAGGAACUAUCCCGUUUCCCCAAAAAAUAGUAUUAAAUUUAGAAUGUUGGAGCUGAUGAGGACUUCAGAUGCCAUCAUUUUAUACAUAAGGAAACGUGGGCCCAAAUGGAGAAGCAGCAGCCUUCCAUCUGGCAUUGUCUUUCAGUCUGAUCUUCGAGAAACAGUUCAAGCAUAAGCAGGAG